rnacentral:rRNA from 1 species
CCCUUAGAUGUUCUGGGCCGCACGCGCGUUACACUGACGAAUGCAACGAGCUUAUAACCUUGGCCGAAAGGUCUGGGUAAUCUCCAAAUUUCGUCGUGAUGGGGAUAGAUUAUUGCAAUUAUUAAUCUUCAACGAGGAAUGCCUAGUAAGCGCAAGUCAUCAGCUUGCGUUGAUUACGUCCCUGCCCUUUGUACACACCGCCCGUCGCUCCUACCGAUUGAAUGGUCCGGUGAAGCGUUCGGACCGUGGCCUUUGGACGGUUCGCCGUCUGUUGGCUGCGGGAAGUUCGUUAAACCUUAUCAUUUAGAGGAAGGAGAANUCGUANCA